GUCCCUGUAGCACAAUAGAUCGCGCGUUGGACCUCUAAUCCAAAGGUUGUGGGCUCGAUUCCCACCUGGGACG